GAAAGACUGUAACUCAGUGGUAGAGAAGUUGCUUUGUGCACAGAACAUCCCGGGUUCAAGCCCUGGUGUCUUCA